UACAGAGGGUGCGAGCGUUAUCCGGAAUCACUAGGGCGUAAAGCGUGCGUAGGUGGAAUCUUAAGUGUGAUGUUAAAUCGUGUGGCUCAACCAUAUCGAUGCAUCGCAUACUGGGAUCUAGAGGACGGCAGAGGCAAGUGGAAUUGGUAGUGUAGCAGUGAAAUGCGUAGAGAUCCGGAAGAACACCGGUGGCGAAGGCGGUCUGCUGGGCGAUGGGAGCGUAAGCUCCUCUUAGCCGACACGUGAGGCGCGACAGCGUGGGGAGCAAACAGGAUU
rnacentral:rRNA from 1 species